CGUGGCCACGAGCUCACUGUGUCUCUUGACGUGUUGAGACGUCACGUAAACCAUGCUCAGCUGCUCCAACGCCGCCAGACACUUCCUGAUGUCCUGCGAGGACGAAAUCAAAAAAGACGGGGGAAGAUUCACGACCAGCGGAUCAAACGUGGUGGAGUGACGUCAUAAUCCGUAGAGUCAUGCUGGUAAGAAACGAGCUGAGAAUGUACAUGAGUUGUUGUUGUUGUUGUUGUUUACCGGGUUGUCGGACUUGAGAGAGAUCCUGAUGUCUCCGUGGAUCCGGUGCAGAGUGGAGUCCGUCAGCGUCAUCGUCAAACUCUUCUUCUGCGUCCCCUCCGUCACCCUCCCUUCCGCCCGACGACGUCUUGGCGUCGUUCUUUUCCUCCGCGCUCGUCUCCGACGACCUCUCUUCUUCUUCUGCUGUGGCUUUGUCGUCUUCCUCCUUCGGACUUUUCUCGUCUUCCUCCUGAGAUUCCACUGCUACGUUUUCACUCUUGUCCCCGUUCUUCUUCGGUUCUCGCGUCGUUCUUUCCUCCUCCGUUUCUUUCCUCUUCUUCUUCUUCUCUUUCUCUUUGGGCGCUCUUCUUUGCUCUUCUUUGCUCUGCUUUCUCGGCAUCUCCUCUUCGCCGCUCUUCCUUCGUUUCUCCUCUUCGUCCUUGCCCCUCUUCCUCUUCUUCUUCUCUUCCGCUGUCGUCGUGCUCUUGUCUUUUUUGUCCUCUGUCGCCGCUCUCGUUCUCUCCGGUUCGGAUUUCUUCUCUUUCUCCGCCUCCUUCACCUUUUUCUUCUCCUCCACCUUUCUGCUUUCCAUCUUCUCCUCCUUCGCGGCAGCCGCUGUCGCAGUUGCCACUGUUCCUCCCAUCAUAGUCUUCACCUGAACCUUCGUUCCCCUUCCCGCCGUCGCCUUGACGAUCUUUCCAAUAAUCCUUCGCUCGUCUUUCUUUUCUUCGUGUGUGACCUCUGUCGUCUUCUUCGUCUUCGUCUCUCCGAGCUCGUUCUUGACGCCACCGCCUGAUUUCCGGCUCUUGGUCGUUUCCUUCGCACCCUGCUGACUCUUCUUCUUCUUCUUUGCUCCGUCCCCGACUUUCCUGAGAAGAACAGAACAAAGACUUUUUAAACACUUUUAUCUAAACGCACUUCCUCUAGCUGAUGACGAGUGAGUGGGAGUUUCUUCUCAUACAGCGCGCUCUUGGUCCCCUCCCUCCUCCUCGCUCCUCUUCCCGCCUUCAGCAGACCUCGCAGAGACUUCAACAGACUCUCCCUCUUGGCUACCAGGCGCCGCUCACGCUGCACAUGAAGAGACAGAAAAAGAAGAAGAAAAGAAGAUGAAGAUGAAUUGUAAAAA
rnacentral:lncRNA from 1 species